AAAGGCAGAAAGUAGGAAGGGGUGAGUUAAGGUGAAUUGGGUUUAGGGUUGGGUAAGUACUAAUCCGAUCUCUCUCACAGUCUCACUUCAUGUCGACCCUUCGCUCCCUAAGCCCUAAUCCUUCCCGCUCCUCCUCCUCCUCCUCCUACAGUCCCAAUCCUAACCCCGCCGCCCACCCUUCCCUCCUCGCCUUCUUCGGCGGGACCGCCUUCAACGGCGUCAUCAAGGACCUCAAGACUUUCACCACUCGCUUCCCCCACGUGCUUCCCUUUUCCGACGACGGAGGUAGCACCGCCGAAAUCGUCAACGUCCUUGGUGGUCCGGUCGUCGGAGACUCAUGACCUCCAAGAAGCAGAAGAAGCUCACCCGCACCGCCGACGAAGCCCUCGAGUCAAAGCUCGGUUUCGAUCUAUUCUCCUAGGCUCGGCUUUCCCAACGGUGAGCCGCCGUAUUAUGUCGGGUUGAUGAAGGUGGAGGAGGAUCCGUACAAUGAGUUGGGUAACCCGGAUGGGGUUAUUCAGCUGGGUUUGGAUGAAAACACGUUAGCUUUGGACUUGGUUCGAGAGUGGCUAAUGUAGAAUGCAAAGGAUGCAAUACUGGGCGGUGAGGAGCUUGGGAUUAGUGGGAUUGCUUGUUACCAGCCUUCUGAUGGUUUAAUGGAGCUGAAACUGAUAUGCAGGCUGUGGCAGGAUUCAUGUCUAAAGCCGUUGGAAAUUCAGUUACCUACAACCGCUCACAAAUUGUAUUGACAGCUGGUGCAACCCCUGCAAUUGAGAUUCUAAGCUUCUGCCUAGCAGACAGUGGAAACACAUUUAUUGUUCCGGCACCAUAUUACCCUGGUUUGGAUAGAGAUGUGAAGUGGCGAACUUGAUGCGGGACAAGUAGCAAAAGAACUGCAGAACUAGGGUUUAUUUGCAGCAGUCUCGAUUGUUAGAAAGAAAAGGAAUUUAGAAUAAGAAACUUAAGAAGAAAAGGGAUAGAAUUACUAGCCAGACUGUGUGGGCCUAGCAACAUAGGAUGGUACUGGCAGAUGAUUUGGAUUCUGGACAAGGCAGUAAAUAGAAUCACAUAUUCCAAAUCCAACCUUGUCUGUUAAUGGAUUCGGAGGCCUAUAAGCCAUAAGUUGAAUUUGUCUGAUUUCGAUCUGCAUGUCCAGCCGCUUUGUUAAUAAUAGCAUAGUAUGCUACUGUUGAUUUUUA